rnacentral:rRNA from 1 species
AACGAACGCUGGCGGCAUGCCUAACACAUGCAAGUCGAACGAUAUCUUCGGAUCUAGUGGCGCACGGGUGCGUAACGCGUGGGAAUCUGCCUUGGGGUUCGGAAUAACUCCCCGAAAGGGGUGCUAAUACCGGAUGAUGUCGAAAGACCAAAGAUUUAUCGCCCUGAGAUGAGCCCGCGUAGGAUUAGCUAGUUGGUGUGGUAAAGGCGCACCAAGGCGACGAUCCUUAACUGGUCUGAGAGGAUGAUCAGCCACACUGGGACUGAGACACGGCCCAGACUCCUACGGGAGGCAGCAGUGGGGAAUAUUGGACAAUGGGCGAAAGCCUGAUCCAGCAAUGCCGCGUGAGUGAUGAAGGCCUUAGGGUUGUAAAGCUCUUUUACCCGGGAAGAUAAUGACUGUACCGGGAGAAUAAGCACCGGCUAACUACGUGCCAGCAGCCGCCGUAACAC